rnacentral:tRNA from 1 species
GCGGUGAUAGCUCAGUUGGUAGAGCGUCAGCUUCCCAAGCUGAAAGUCGCGGGUUCGAAUCCCGUUCGCCGCU